rnacentral:lncRNA from 1 species
GUCCCUCGGGGCGGCGGGCUAACGCGGCCGCUUUGUUCUUCGCUUCUCGGCUCGAGGCCCCAGUCUCGACCGCCGACCGCCUCGGAACCGGGCUGCAUCCGAGCUGCCACGCGGCGUGUGAACCUUGAAGCGCGGCCGGGGAAUCCGCAAGGCGCCGACUCUCUUCCUCCUUGCAAGCCCUUCGAAAGUGAGAUUUCUCACCCCACCCUUGCAGGGUGGAGAGAACACGUUUCAAAAAGGGGAUGCCUAGAACUCAGCCGUGGGAAGUGCCUGUCUAAAGCCUUGUGCUGGUGCCAGUAGCAAACCCGUGCGCGUGCUCGGCUUUGAGCGAUCAUGGAGCUCUGCAAAUAGCUCAACUGCAGAGCGUGCCCCUUAGAGCUCCUGUGCUGCUGGGAGGCCUCAUAAAGGUGCCAAAACCAGGUGUCCCCAGCGGUUGGCCUCUUUAAAAAGAAAAAAAAAAAAAGGCGGAGUGGGAUGUCCUUGACGUGCUGAAAGACGGAGUAGAAUGAGACGUUGGUUUUCAUUGGCUGGCCAUUAAGCACGCACUGCGCAACUGUUUUCCAGAUACGGGUUUAUAGCCCAUUAUUUAUAUCGGAGCCAUAAACUUGAACAAUAGAUUGGAAUAUCUUAUUUUUGCCUGUUGAGAAUAUCUCCCAUUUAACUUCUUUUGAAAGUUCAGAUGAGUAUAUAAAUAAUACAUUGACCCAGUAGAAUCUAUUGUGUGCGUUCCAGCGUCAUUUCAAAGAGCUAUUGUUUUUCUGAUUUCAAAAGAAAUAUUUAAAUGUGCAAUAUGAAGAUGAAAACUAUCCUGCACACCUCACAAAACUAAGGUGUAUGUGUGUGAGUGGGAGCAUAAUGUGAGACGCCUUUGUCUUCUAAGCCACCUCUAGGCUCACACUGACUAGCAAGCUUUGCUUGUCCCUUUCAGUUGCAAUGUUGCUGUCACUGUCACCCUAUAAUCUCUUUAAUUGGCAGUUGCAGACCAAGGGCCCACCCUUCCUUUAAUGACAGCUGGCUGAAGCCUUCCAACUUUAGUUGUCCCAAGUCACACUGGCUGACUUAUAAAGCCAUAUCUGUGGCCGGGCGUGGUGGCUCAUGCCUGUAAUCCCAGCACUUUGGGAGGCUGAGCCAGGCAGAUCACCUGAGGUCAGGAGUUCGAGACUAGCCUGACCAACAUGGUGAAACCCCAUCUCUACUAAAAAAAAUACAAAAAUUAGUCGGGCAUGGUGGUGCGUGCCUGUAAUCCCAGCUACUCG